UGUGGGGUAGCUCAGUUUGGUAGAGCACGAUAAAACAGGUCUUGCCAAAGACCUUAACAGCAAGCCCUUAACACCUGAUAAGUGCGUUGUCGUGGGUUCGAGUCCCAUCCCCACAA
rnacentral:tRNA from 1 species